GCCUACGGGGGGCAGCAGUAGGGAAUCUUCCACAAUGGGCGAAAGCCUGAUGGAGCAACGCCGCGUGGGUGGAGAAGGUCUUCGGAUCGUAAAACCCUGUUGUUAGAGAAGAAAGUGCGUGGGAGUAACUGUUCACAUUUCGACGGUAUCUAACCAGAAAGCCACGGCUAACUACGUGCCAGCAGCCGCGGUAAUACGUAGGUGGCAAGCGUUAUCCGGAUUUAUUGGGCGUAAAGGGAACGCAGGCGGUCUUUUAAGUCUGAUGUGAAAGCCUUCGGCUUAACCGGAGUAGUGCAUUGGAAACU
rnacentral:rRNA from 1 species